UCUGCCCGCUCAGAGCAGUGGCUGGGCUGUUUUCCCUCCCUGGGGCCCAGGACGGAGGCCAGGCAGCUGUGGGCAGGCCUCUUCUCCGGCUUCUGGGCCUAAAUGAAGCUAUCAUCGGCAAGCUUCAAAUUGUGGAGUCUACUGAGAAACUAACCAAGUAUAAAGCCAGUCUUCGAAAUGAAAAGAGGGAAUAAGAAUUUGGAGACAGGUCUGGACAGUCUGAUUAAAAAGAAGAAUUACCCAAUACAAAGAACUCUCUUCUACUAAGCUUUCCAAUAUUGUAAGCUGUCUAAAGCUGAUUUGUCAUGUAGUCUCAAGUGUGAGUUUUAAAUAUGAACUCACACUGGGACAGAAAAGUCAGCAUCUUAUCCUGCUGCCCACGGAACAUUAGUAAGAAGACGAAGAUGGGUUCAGUCUGAGGCAGUGUCAGCGAAAGGGGUCCAGUACGUUAUGCAUUAUGAUACGCUGCCUCCUCCAGCAAGGGUAAUAAGGACAAGACCUGGUGACCAAAGGAAAUAUUAGAACUCAUCAAAACCAGAAUCAACAUUCCCAACAAUGGAAUCAUUCAGGAAAAGAGCUUGCCAUGAUGACCUUGAGGGCAGAGGAAGAAGGAAAGGAUAUUCUCUCCCUAUGAUUCAAUUAUUUGAUCCAACCGCAGUACUCUGUCACUGACUAAGGUUUGGUAGGGAGUGAAGAUAUGGAAGCCAUUAUGGUUCACAUUAUCCAGUAAAUGAAUGGAAGCAUUUGUUCAUCAAAAAGAAGGAGAACAAAGAAUUUUACAUUUUAAAUUUAUCUCAGGAGUUGGACAAAAUGUGGUCGGCUUUUGUUAUUGUUGCAUAAAAGAAGAGGAAACUGGCAAGUGAACAUUUAAUAGGAAAAAUAUAUAGCUUGCACAAUUUAAAAAUAAAAUCUAACAGUUUGCAUUUUUUAGCACCUUUCAUGCAAGCAUCUCAAAAUGCUUUAUAAAAAUUAAUUAAGCCUCCUCCUCUUUCCCCCCUCCAGCACCCACGAGGAGGCAUUAUUUUACAUAUGGAAGUGGGUGCUUCAGAAGGUCAUGACAACAUCUGGGGGCUCACUGACACAAGGAACUCAAUCCCAUCCUGGAGAGGAAAUUCUGUCCAGUCUUCCCAAAAGGAGCUCACCUGUCUUCCUGUCACCCAAACCCAGCAUACCCUUCAAUUCAGAAGCUACUACCCUUAGAACUCUGGGGCCACCUACUGGGGGAAAUCUUGCAACCAAGUGGACCAUAUUUGGAUCAAAUCCUAACACUACCCCUUGAAUCACUGCCCUUUUCCUUUCUCCAUAGCCUGCUUAGUCACCCCUUAUUUCCCUUCCAAUAACAGCAUCAGGGAAUAAGAAAAACACAAACUCCCAUUACGUAUAUAUGGUUUUUGUUAAAAAAAAUUUUUUAAUGUAGAAAUUUUACAAAUGUUAAGGAAUAAAAGAAAAAAAGUCCUUCUCUGGGUGAGGGAAUUCAAUAAACCUAGAUUCUAACUCCAUUUCCACCAUUAACUAGCUGUGUGAUUUUGAGAAAAUUUACCCAACCUCUCUGAAACUGUUUAUGUAUAAAAAGGAAAAUAGAUUAAACUAGAUUUCCUAUUCAGCUCUAAAAUCUUCCAGACUCAGAAUUCUCCAGUUCAUCUUCUUUUUCCUUCCCAGCAUUUUUUUCUGCAGUUUCUACCAAGAUCCUGAAGAUUAUUCUACCUAGUAGCUGCCUGCCAUCCCUGGGCAACCAGUUAAUAAGGAAAAUGCUUUAUCUCAAAGUAACAAGUUGGCACCUGGUCACAAUUUUAAGUCUCUGUUAAACAAAAUAGAAAUGGGGAGGGGGGCUAGAGGAGGGAAAAUCCCAACCCAGCAUCUUAUUU